rnacentral:rRNA from 1 species
CACGCCGUAAACGAUGAUCACUCGCUGCAUGCGAUAUACGGUAUGUGGCCAAGCGAAAGCGUUAAGUGAUCCACCUGGGGAAUACGAUCGCAAGGUUGAAACUCAAAGGAAUUGACGGGGGCCCGCACAAGCGGUGGAGCAUGUGGUUUAAUUCGAUGAUACGCGAGGAACCUUACCAAGGCUUGAAAGGCGUCUGACAGCUUCUGAAAGGGAGUUUUCUUCGGACAGGCGUCUAGGUGC